GACAAAUCUGGUAACGUAGAUAUAAGGUCACUCUAGAGAUGAAAUGCUGGAAAUAUCCAUUUGCAAAAUGUAUAUCUAGAUUCUGCUUUAAAGAUGUCUAUAAAAUCACUGUUGAAUUAUGAAAAAAGAUGGACACAUAAUGCAUAAAAUACAACAUAUGCCCUGCAUGUAAUGGAGGGUGUUUCAAUCCGUCCAUGGGAAACCACAACUUUAACUAAAUGAUAGUUUAGGAG
rnacentral:lncRNA from 1 species